rnacentral:lncRNA from 1 species
AUAUGAUCCAUUUGAGUGAAUUUUUGCACAAGGUGUAAGGUUUAGAUGAAUAAUUUUUUUCACUGAGGUCCGAUCGUCUCAGCACCAUUUUAUAAAAAGGCUAUUCUUCUUCUGCUGAACUGCUUUUGAAACCUUGGUCAAAACUCAGCUAGUCACAUUGCGUGGGUCUAUUUCUGGGUUCCCCAUUCUGCUCCACCGAUCUAUGUGUCUAUCCCUCUGGUGUUCUAAGCUUUAUUGAUUGCUGUAGAUAUUCAUGAAGUCUUAAAAAUGGGUAGUAUGAUUCCUCCAACUCAAUGCUUCUUUUUCGAUAUUAUUUUAGCCAUUCUAAUUCAUUUGUGUUUCCACAUACAUUUUAAGAGAAGCUUGCCAAUAUAAAUAUAGUAAAAUCUUUUUGGGAUUUUAGUAGGGUUUACAUUGAAUUUACAGAUCAUUUUAUCAAGAACUAACAUCUUUAAUAUACUUGGCCUUCCAAACCAUGAACAUUAUAUGUUUCUCCAUUUAUUUAGGUCUUUGAUUUUUUUGUUAGUAUUCGUACUUUUCAUUAUCCUGAUCCUGCACGUUUUGUAAAAUUUAUACACUGAGCUUCUUGAAUCUGUAAAUUUGUCUUUCACCAAAUUUGAAAAAUCUUUGGCCAUUAUUUCUUUAGAUAUUUCCUGCUCUAACCUCUUCUCCUUUCCUCUGGGACACCAGCGGCAUGAAUAUUAGAACUACUGAUAUUUUCCCACAGUUCUCAGAGGCUCUGUUCAUUCUUUUUUUUCAAUUUUUUUUCUCUCUCUCCUUCGGCUAGAAUUUCUACUUAUCUACUUUCAGAUUCACUGAAUCUUCCCUUUGUCAUCACGAUUCCGCUCUUUGGCCCAAUCUGUGAUUUUUUAACUUUAAGAUAUUAUAAUAUCCAAUUCUAAAAUUUCCUUUUGAUUCUUCUUAUUGUUGUAUAACUCUAUAUGUUUCUGUUUUUCCACUCAUUUCUAGAGUGUUUCUAUUGAUUUCAUAGACCACAGUUCUAAUAGCAGCAUUAAAGCCUUUUUCUGAAAAUUAAAACAUCUGUGUCAUCUUGAGAUCAGUUUUCUGUUGACUGUGUUUCCUUAAGAGUUGAUUAUAUUUUCUAGUUUUUUGUUUAUUGGGUAAUUAGAAUUGUAUCUGAUACGUUUUCGAUAUUAAAAUGAAAGAUUCUGAGAGGUGUUAAAAUCCUAUGGCAAAUGUUUAUUUUAUGUUUUUGCACGCAUUCAAUCUGGCUAAGUUCAGAGUGCAAAUUCUGUAUCAUUUUAGGUGUGUGAUGGCUUGAUCGUUAGUUCAGUUUUCAAAGCCUUUACUGUGCUUCUUCGGGUCCAUCCUGCAAACGCAUCACACGGGUUAGUCAGGGACUUGGCCCAAAGUGGACACUCAAAAUAUCAUUUUCAUUCAUUUUCAAUUUUAAGUGCAGCUUGUUUGAAGUUGAAUCAUAUGGAAAUUUUGGAUUUUGAAGGUUUAUUAAUUGUUAAAAAGCAAGCCAUUUAUAUUUAUCUUAUCUCUGCACUAUCCAGUAUGUUUGUUCAGAAAUUGGAACAUGGCGUUAUUCUGCAAAGUGACAUAUAUUACAGUUCCACAGUGGAUUUUGUGAAAUAGCCAAAGAAUAAGAUUUCCUAUGAACUACCAAAUCCAUUUUUGGCAUUUACUAUUUAUUCUUAUUUUCUAAAUGAUGGCUAAUAAUUCUAAAAUCUAUAUGGAUUACAUUAACUUGAUUUUUCCCAUUUUCCCAUUUUCCCAUAAAAGCAUAUGUAUAUAUCCUUCUGAGAUUCAAAAUCUUCCCUGUGCUUGCGUUCAUUUUUGUCCUCAGUUCCAGUAUACCUAAUGUUAGGUCGAGUAUAAAAUAAAUCUUUAAAAAUUCUACUACUUUCUACAGUGGCUACUAUAGAGGGAAUUAAGUAUGGAAAAUUACCUGUUAAGUGUAGUAGGGAUAGCUCUUUAGUUUUUUACAUGUUGGAAAUUGAGUUCUACAUGUGACACUUUCUGACAUUACAGUGUUGUGCCUUUGUUUUAAAUUCAUACUAUUUUUUAUGUUGUAUAAAUUCUCCUUGUUCAUGGCAUAGUAGUUUUUAAAAUAUUUUCCAUUACAGAUAGAAUGACUUAGAAAGAGUUUUAUAUGUUUCCAUUUUGAAAAUUGAAAAUUCAGGAAACUCAUCAACACUAAAAAGAAAUGAGUUAAACCAUGAAAAGACAUGGAGGAACCUUAAUGCAUGGGCAGGGAACAUAUGGGAAAUCUUUGUACUUUCCUCUCAGUUCUGUUGCUAACCUAAAAUGGCUCUAAAAAAUUAAAGUCUUUGUUAAAAAAAAUAUAAAAGCUCAUCAACAUCACAUGUGAUAAUAAAUGAAAUCAAACUAUAUGUCCUAAAGUUUAAUACUCUUUGCGCAAUAAACAGUUUUUGAAUUUGUAACACAUUAUUAAUAAGCAAGAAUUUAAAAUACUAGCUCUUUCUUGUUUCUAAGAAAACAUAUUCAUAUCAAUAGUGUUGCGCUCCCACUAAGAGUUGGACUUGAGGACAUAACGUACAUAAAAGUAAUUCCAUUCGGGCAUGGCCAUGUUUAUUUGCAUUUCUUUUGCGUUUUCAAACGGGAAAAACAUAAGAGAUUAAAUACAGAUGUGUUUAUUCUGAAUAUAGGUGGAUAGGUAGAUACAUAGAUGAAAAAUUGAUGAUAGAUAGAUGCGUAGGUAGGUAUAGACAGAAAGAUAGAUAGACAGAUA